CUAUAUAAAUAAAAUUUAAUUCAAUUGAAUUGUCUCUGAUCUCGGAAGCUAAGCAGAAGAAGGCUUGGUUAGUAUUGGCUGGGAGACCAACUGGGGACACCAGGUGUCUUUUGGC
rnacentral:rRNA from 1 species